AUACGGAGGGUGCAAGCGUUGUUCGGAAUUACUGGGCGUAAAGCGUACGUAGGCGGACUGAUCAGUUGGGGGUGAAAUCCCAGGGCUUAACCCUGGAACUGCCUUCAAUACUGUCAGUCUUGAGUUUGGGAGAGGUGAGUGGAAUUCCUAGUGUAGAGGUGAAAUUCAUAGAUAUUAGGAGGAACACCAGUGGCGAAGGCGGCUCACUGGCCCAUUACUGACGCUGAGGUACGAAAGCGUGGGGAGCAAACAGGAUUAGAAACCCUAGUAGUCC
rnacentral:rRNA from 1 species